rnacentral:rRNA from 1 species
CUACGGGACGCAGCAGUGAGGAAUUUUGCGCAAUGGGGGAAACCCUGACGCAGCAACGCCGCGUGAGUGAAGAAGGCUUUCGGGUCGUAAAGCUCUGUCAGAUAGGAAAAAAGUUCAUAUGUAAAUAGCUUAUGAGUCUGAUGGUACUAUCAGAGGAAGCACCGGCUAACUCCGUGCCAGCAGCCGCGGUAAUACGGAGGGUGCAAGCGUUGUUCGGAAUUACUGGGCGUAAAGGGCGUGUAGGCGGUAUGGUAAGUCAGAUGUGAAAGCCCUGGGCUUAACUCAGGAAGUGCAUUUGAUACUGCCAUUCUUGAGUAUGGGAGAGGGGAGUAGAAUUCCCAGUGUAGAGGUGAAGUUCGUAGAUAUUGGGAGGAAUACCCGUGGCGAAGGCGACUCUCUGGACCAAUACUGACGCUGAGACGCGAAAGCGUGGGGAGCAAACAGGAUUAGAUACCCUCGUAGUC